UUCCCGAGUGGGAAGUACUAGAACAUCCAUCCGGCCUGCUACAUAACCCUCCCUCUCCCCCUCAUUCCAAGAGCUAUUGUCUCGUCUCACUAUUUGAAAUUCGCUGGAACUAACUUGUACAUCCCUCGAAGGAAAGCUCUCUUGAUUAUCGUUCAGGCAGAUUCUUUGAACGCUGUUAAUGAUGGGCCGUACCAGCAAAACUAUUUAUGUGGGAAAUCUACCUGGUGACAUUCGCGAGAGGGAAGUUGAAGAUUUGUUUUAUAAGUAUGGACGGAUUGUGGGUGUUGAUUUGAAAAUUCCUUCGAAGCCCCCCGGUUAUGCUUUUGUUGAGUUUGAAGAUCCUCGUGAUGCUGAUGAUGCCAUUCGUGGUCGAGAUGGUUAUAAAUUCGAUGGAUGUCGUCUGAGGGUUGAACUUGCACAUGGAGGGAGGGGAUCAUCUUCAUAUGAUCGUCACUCUAGUUACAGUAGUGGAAGUAGUCGUGGUGGAAUUUCAAGGCGUUCAGACUAUCGUGUGUUGGUGACUGGGCUUCCUUCUUCCGCUUCUUGGCAAGAUCUGAAGGAUCACAUGCGGGGAGCUGGCGAUGUGUGCUUUGCUGAUGUUUAUCGUGAUCGUGAUGGCAUGCGAGGAAUUGUUGAUUACACAAACUAUGAUGACAUGAAACAUGCAAUAAGAAAGCUUGAUGAUUCUCUCUUUCGUAAUCAGUAUUCUCGGGCAUAUAUACGGGUGGAGGAGCAUAACAAGAGACACAGUUAUUCAAGAAGCUGCAGUAGGAGUCCUCACUCAAGAAGCAAAAGUCCAUCUCGCAGCCCUGCUGAUGAAAAGGGGAGAAGAUCUCGUUCUAGGUCUGUGGCAUCACGAUCGCAAUCUGAGUCUCCCCGUCGGGUGUCAAGUGUCAGGGGUGACGAUGGUAGUUCUUGAGUAAACACACAUGAUUGUGAUGAUGUACAUUCGGUGGCAUGUAUUCUAUGAAAUACAAACAAGAUAGUAUCUAGGUAUGUCGAAAGAUUAUCAGAAGCAAGGAAAGCUGAAGAUGUGCCUGUUUGCGGAAAAUAUAUAAAGCUACUUAAUAAAAGAAGAGAAUAUAAAAAGGUUUUAAGCCCAGUUCAAUUCCAUGAAUGUUACUGAUUAAAAGAUUUGGCUUUUCGUGGCGAUCUGGGGAUUGCAUUUUAGGAACUUGAUGGCUUGGGAUGCUCAAAUCUCAUGUGGACUCAUUUCAUUGUGGCCAUAUGCUGUUUUAGUUGAUGAGCAUCUGCAGCAAAGCCAAGAUGGUAAAUUUCAUUUUAACAUGCAAGAUUUAGGGGAAUGUUAAAAUCAACUUUAUCAACAGAUGAAUAGUAAGCAACGAAAUUGGUGGAACAAUAAAAGCUGGACUUUCAUAUUCCUCCAAAGGAUAUGUUCUUCAUAACAGAUGAUCUCCUUCAAGAUCUGGAAAUGCAUCACCUCAUCCAAAACCGGGCUUGACGAGCGCCAGCCCGAGCCAGAGCAGGUCAAGAUCUCCAUCGGUCAAGUGAGUUUGGGCCGAAACAUAUUCGCCGCGGAUAGUGCAAUUAAUGGUUGGCUUAGUUGGUUGAAUGAUUGAUUGAUACUUUGGAUGAUACUAUACUAGAAAGUAAGUUGCUUACUCUUAUUCGAAUCAGAUGCCUUCAAUUCAAAUCCAUCUGGUGCUACUUUCUUUGAAUACUUUGAUUGUGUGCUGUUUGUUGUUUAAUAUUGCUGAUUAAAUAUUUUUGAAGUUAUUUUAUCAAAUGAUUCUCCAAUGGUGCAAUAGUUGCUCAGUA